UGGGGAAUUUUGGACAAUGGGCGAAAGCCUGAUCCAGCAAUGCCGCGUGUGUGAAGAAGGCCUUCGGGUUGUAAAGCACUUUUGUCCGGAAAGAAAUCCUUGGCUCUAAUACAGUCGGGGGAUGACGGUACCGGAAGAAUAAGCACCGGCUAACUACGUGCCAGCAGCCGCGGUAAUACGUAGGGUGCAAGCGUUAAUCGGAAUUACUGGGCGUAAAGCGUGCGCAGGCGGUUUGCUAAGACCGAUGUGAAAUCCCCGGGCUCAACCUGGGAACUGCAUUGGUGACUGGCAGGCUAGAGUAUGGCAGAGGGGGGUAGAAUUCCACGUGUAGCAGUGAAAUGCGUAGAGAUGUGGAGGAAUACCGAUGGCGAAGGCAGCCCCCUGGGCAAUACUGACGCUCAUGCACGAAAGCGUGGGGAGCAAACAGGAUUAGAUACCCUGGUAGUCCACGCCCUAAACGAUGUCAACUAGUUGUUGGGGAUUCAUUUCCUAGUAACGUAGCUAACGCGUGAAGUUCCCCGCCUGGGGAGUAC
rnacentral:rRNA from 1 species